CUGACAAGCGAAGCGGUCAGACCGGAGGUAAUAUCUGCGUGGCUUUUCAACGACAACUGAGGAACACCAAGGGGAUGAAAAGUUACACCGUGGUGGCUUUAUUUCUGCUGGACAGGUCACCUGCAGGUUUGAGUCUUUCAUAGCCCUGUACUUCUCACCAGUAUAAGCUGAUCGGACCAUGCUGGUUGGCCUGGAUUACAACCACCGUGUCCACAGACCAGAAAAGCUGAUGACACAAUUCAGUACAGCAAGGUGUACAACAAAAAGUCCAGGAAGUGGAGCUUGUACUCAUUGAAGGUGGAGAAG